rnacentral:antisense_RNA from 1 species
CCCAGACAUCAAAGCUGAGCUUUCUUUGUCUCCAGCAGCCUGGGCCACUCCAGAGGUGUUAAAGCUCCCUCACUUCCAGCCUGCCUCGUGGGAAGGUCUUAGGCUAAGUCUGGGCUGGAAACCUAACAAUUUCACUUCCUAGACAACUUGCUAAAAGUCACCUAAAGACAGUCUGGUUACUGCCAAAGAUAUGCUUUCAAAUAAGAUUUGGAUAAAGAAGGGAGGUAGAUGCCUUUUUUCAGCAGUGGAGUGAUGUCUAGACCAGUAGACAUAUGCAUCUAAGUGAACUCAUCACCAGCAACAAUUUCCUGAAACUUCCUGACCUCCAGAUUGCAGCUUCAUUAGUGUGAGUUUAAAGCCAACUAGAUGCCAUUCUCAGAUUCCACGCAUAUGGCCAAGGGUCCAGGAAAUAAGAAGAAACAGGGUUGAGGGGUUGGUGUUACGGGGCAUUUACUUGAAUUUUCUAUGCUAUAAUUGUCUCAUCUUUAAAAUGGUGAUAAUAAUAAAAUUGUCAGUUAUUAAAUAAAUUAACACAGUGAAAAAGAAAA